UAAAAGGAAGUAGAUUCCUUCAAAUAGUUCCUCAUUCAUAGUUUCCUUAAAUUAGUGCUCUCCUCCGUUGAAUGGUACUAAGUGAACUGCGUCAUUGAUGAGCUUUAAGAGAUGGGAGAGAAUUGGCCAAAGUUCUAUGCCCAGCCCAUGUUUACACAUGAUGUACUAUUGUACUAUAACAUAUUUCAAAACUUACUUUUUCCCAUUGAUACAUCAAUAUGUUCUCUCCCUAGUGAAAAACAAAACCAAUAUAUUUUUAGGCAUUAAAAAGCCAUUUAGUUAUAUAAAUGUCUAAAAUAGAGAAUAAUAAUGUUUGAACCAAGGGGGUGUAAACCAAUAAAAAAUUAAAUCACUAAUAGAGAAAAAACCUGUAUUAAACCAUAAUUACUCAAGGUAAAUAUGCUGAAGUUAAGAGGUGAUAGGUAGGUAGGUAGGUAGGUAGGUAGGUAGGUAGAUAGAUAGAUAGAUACAAUGGACUAUAUGGCAAUAGUCAUAAAUCUAUAUGUAUCGACGUACGACUGCAUCAUGAGUCCUCAAGAUACAACGGUUCCUAAAUCUCAACCACCUUGCCAUCUUGAGUGCUACUCGAUCAUCCAGUCUCCUGCAACAUAUAUAUUUGACGAAAAACUUGGUAUAUGUAUGCAAAUUGCAAAUACAAUGCAUCAAAAUAGGUAGAUGCUAACAAUAAUACACACGUCACAUGCUAUUCCAUGAUCCUUUUUCCUACAAUAUAAAUUUGAUGAAGUCAAGAAUUUAGAAUAGAAAUAUACCGUUCAUCAAUAAUACAAAGAUGCUGGCAAAAUAUAUACUGUGAUAACUAAUGAAGUAUAUAUGUGGAAAGGUCCCGCCCAUGUCACCUGAUAAAGCCCGCUUUACCAUUGGAUACAGAGUUCACAUUCAUGCAUGUAGAUAAGAGCCUGCAACAUAUUUGUCCUCUAAUAUGUGAACGCAUGCAUGUAAAAUAUAUAGGAAAACGAAUUCAAUGUAAAAAUAAUCAUGCAUAUGCACAUCAUGGAGAUCUUAUCAUGAUGCAACAAAUCAAAUUGUAAGUUAGGCACUGGGGAAAUUACUCUUGGUAAGGAACAAUAGCAGGCAAUUUAUUUUCCCUUUUUCAUAAGCUGAUGGUUGCCCCUCUAGAUCCACCAAGUGAUGUGCUGGAGAGGAUCAUAUCUACUGAGGAGCUUUUUGGGUAUCAGCUACAACCUUUUGGAACAGCAUCUAUAGAAGAGUUAAAUAAGAUAUAAGAAACUUCAUACGUGUAUGGUGUAUAAAAUUACAAAUAGCAGGAACUUCCUUCUAACUUCGAUAGAAAUUGAUGUAUAGUUAACUGUUUCGUAGUGGGCUAUUGCAUUUAGAAACAUGGUGUGCAUAAAAGGGUAGCAUAAUAGAAGUGAACAUUAAUUACGUUAAGAAUACUACAAAAUAAUAUUUUACAGCAAAAGGAGAUUAGACAGAGGCUUCAACUUUGAUUGAUAUUAGGACUGUUGCCUCAUAAAGCACCAUUCAGCCAUGAAAAAACGACAUCCCUCCUUUCAUGAGAGACUUGCACUAAGAAUAUUCCAAACAGACCUCUGACUUCACUAAAUACACUUAUUGGUUUAAUUCUUUAAAUUUUAGUCUUCGUAGUAUUUAUAAAAAGUAAAUUAAUAAAGCAGAGAAUUUGAAGAUUGACACUUAAAACCUAAGAUAUUCGUAGGGAUAACAUAACUAACUCAGUUCUGAAAAAAGCUUGGAUUCACUCUUAUUUGUGUGCUGGCUCGCUUGGGGGAAGGAAUGUUUUUUUGCAAUAGAAAAAUAGUUGUACAUGCUUCACAUUUAUGAGAAAAAGAAUAGUCCGUGCAAUUUAUUUCUGUUAAUUCGCAUGCAUAAACUGUAAGACCGUACUAAACAUAUAAUGAAAUCCUAAAACUUUCCGCAUCAAAUGACUAAUAAUCAUACAUAGACUGGAAAUUAGAUCCAUUUUACUCCAUGGUCCUCAGAUAACGAAGCAUCAGGCAAGGCCAGUAGAUCACGAUGUGUUGUUUCUACUAUCUCAAAUCUCACAAAUUUAGAGGAAUAUGCAGCAUACCAUGAAGUAACUAUUACCAAACAUCAGCUAUUUGUCGUCUCCAUGAUAGCGAAUAAUGUACGCACAUCAGGGACAACUUUCAACAUGAUGGGAAAACACAAAAUUAGUCCAGCCCAAUAACAUCAACAUCCAGUGCACAUGCAACAAAUCUAGCUUGAUGAAGUUUUGCUUGUAAAAUCUAUGUUGUGUCCAGGAUAUCAGAGAUAAUAUUAAUAUGAUUAAAUGCUAACUGCAGCAUGGAACUUAAGAUACACACUUCCUUACCUUCAGAGUGGUCGCAUGAGUAGUAGGCAAUGAAUGUCCAUGGUGUGAAUAGAUGCGCCAUCGGCCCAUCGCAACUCUUUCCCUCGGGAUCCUUAAUACUCUCAUGGAUGGUGCCAUGGCGGCAC
rnacentral:lncRNA from 1 species